AGCGUACACGGUGGAUGCCCUGGCAGUCAGAGGCGAUGAAGGACGUGCUAAUCUGCGAUAAGCGUCGGUAAGGUGAUAUGAACCGUUAUAACCGGCGAUUUCCGAAUGGGGAAACCCAGUGUGAUUCGUCACACUAUCAUUAACUGAAUCCAUAGGUUAAUGAGGCGAACCGGGGGAACUGAAACAUCUAAGUACCCCGAGGAAAAGAAAUCAACCGAGAUUCCCCCAGUAGCGGCGAGCGAACGGGGAGCAGCCCAGAGCCUGAAUCAGUGUGUGUGUUAGUGGAAGCGUCUGGAAAGGCGCGCGAUACAGGGUGACAGCCCCGUACACAAAAAUGCACAUACUGUGAGCUCGAUGAGUAGGGCGGGACACGUGGUAUCCUGUCUGAAUAUGGGGGGACCAUCCUCCAAGGCUAAAUACUCCUGACUGACCGAUAGUGAACCAGUACCGUGAGGGAAAGGCGAAAAGAACCCCGGCGAGGGGAGUGAAAAAGAACCUGAAACCGUGUACGUACAAGCAGUGGGAGCACGCUUAGGCGUGUGACUGCGUACCUUUUGUAUAAUGGGUCAGCGACUUAUAUUCUGUAGCAAGGUUAACCGAAUAGGGGAGCCGAAGGGAAACCGAGUCUUAACUGGGCGUUAAGUUGCAGGGUAUAGACCCGAAACCCGGUGAUCUAGCCAUGGGCAGGUUGAAGGUUGGGUAACACUAACUGGAGGACCGAACCGACUAAUGUUGAAAAAUUAGCGGAUGACUUGUGGCUGGGGGUGAAAGGCCAAUCAAACCGGGAGAUAGCUGGUUCUCCCCGAAAGCUAUUUAGGUAGCGCCUCGUGAAUUCAUCUCCGGGGGUAGAGCACUGUUUCGGCAAGGGGGUCAUCCCGACUUACCAACCCGAUGCAAACUGCGAAUACCGGAGAAUGUUAUCACGGGAGACACACGGCGGGUGCUAACGUCCGUCGUGAAGAGGGAAACAACCCAGACCGCCAGCUAAGGUCCCAAAGUCAUGGUUAAGUGGGAAACGAUGUGGGAAGGCCCAGACAGCCAGGAUGUUGGCUUAGAAGCAGCCAUCAUUUAAAGAAAGCGUAAUAGCUCACUGGUCGAGUCGGCCUGCGCGGAAGAUGUAACGGGGCUAAACCAUGCACCGAAGCUGCGGCAGCGACGCUUAUGCGUUGUUGGGUAGGGGAGCGUUCUGUAAGCCUGUGAAGGUGUGCUGUGAGGCAUGCUGGAGGUAUCAGAAGUGCGAAUGCUGACAUAAGUAACGAUAAAGCGGGUGAAAAGCCCGCUCGCCGGAAGACCAAGGGUUCCUGUCCAACGUUAAUCGGGGCAGGGUGAGUCGACCCCUAAGGCGAGGCCGAAAGGCGUAGUCGAUGGGAAACAGGUUAAUAUUCCUGUACUUGGUGUUACUGCGAAGGGGGGACGGAGAAGGCUAUGUUGGCCGGGCGACGGUUGUCCCGGUUUAAGCGUGUAGGCUGGUUUUCCAGGCAAAUCCGGAAAAUCAAGGCUGAGGCGUGAUGACGAGGCACUACGGUGCUGAAGCAACAAAUGCCCUGCUUCCAGGAAAAGCCUCUAAGCAUCAGGUAACAUCAAAUCGUACCCCAAACCGACACAGGUGGUCAGGUAGAGAAUACCAAGGCGCUUGAGAGAACUCGGGUGAAGGAACUAGGCAAAAUGGUGCCGUAACUUCGGGAGAAGGCACGCUGAUAUGUAGGUGAAGUCCCUCGCGGAUGGAGCUGAAAUCAGUCGAAGAUACCAGCUGGCUGCAACUGUUUAUUAAAAACACAGCACUGUGCAAACACGAAAGUGGACGUAUACGGUGUGACGCCUGCCCGGUGCCGGAAGGUUAAUUGAUGGGGUCAGCGCAAGCGAAGCUCUUGAUCGAAGCCCCGGUAAACGGCGGCCGUAACUAUAACGGUCCUAAGGUAGCGAAAUUCCUUGUCGGGUAAGUUCCGACCUGCACGAAUGGCGUAAUGAUGGCCAGGCUGUCUCCACCCGAGACUCAGUGAAAUUGAACUCGCUGUGAAGAUGCAGUGUACCCGCGGCAAGACGGAAAGACCCCGUGAACCUUUACUAUAGCUUGACACUGAACAUUGAGCCUUGAUGUGUAGGAUAGGUGGGAGGCUUUGAAGUGUGGACGCCAGUCUGCAUGGAGCCGACCUUGAAAUACCACCCUUUAAUGUUUGAUGUUCUAACGUUGACCCGUAAUCCGGGUUGCGGACAGUGUCUGGUGGGUAGUUUGACUGGGGCGGUCUCCUCCUAAAGAGUAACGGAGGAGCACGAAGGUUGGCUAAUCCUGGUCGGACAUCAGGAGGUUAGUGCAAUGGCAUAAGCCAGCUUGACUGCGAGCGUGACGGCGCGAGCAGGUGCGAAAGCAGGUCAUAGUGAUCCGGUGGUUCUGAAUGGAAGGGCCAUCGCUCAACGGAUAAAAGGUACUCCGGGGAUAACAGGCUGAUACCGCCCAAGAGUUCAUAUCGACGGCGGUGUUUGGCACCUCGAUGUCGGCUCAUCACAUCCUGGGGCUGAAGUAGGUCCCAAGGGUAUGGCUGUUCGCCAUUUAAAGUGGUACGCGAGCUGGGUUUAGAACGUCGUGAGACAGUUCGGUCCCUAUCUGCCGUGGGCGCUGGAGAACUGAGGGGGGCUGCUCCUAGUACGAGAGGACCGGAGUGGACGCAUCACUGGUGUUCGGGUUGUCAUGCCAAUGGCACUGCCCGGUAGCUAAAUGCGGAAGAGAUAAGUGCUGAAAGCAUCUAAGCACGAAACUUGCCCCGAGAUGAGUUCUCCCUGACUCCUUGA
rnacentral:rRNA from 1 species